rnacentral:rRNA from 1 species
GUAGGGAAUAUUGGGCAAUGGAUGCAAGUCUGACCCAGCCAUCCCGCGUGCCGGAAGAAGGCCCUCAGGGUUGUAAACGGCUUUUGACGGUGAAGAAUCGACAGGAUGCGUCCUGUUUUGACGGUAGCCGUUGAAUAAGCACCGGCUAACUCCGUGCCAGCAGCCGCGGUAAUACGGAGGGUGCGAGCGUUGUCCGGAUUUAUUGGGUUUAAAGGGUGCGUAGGCUGGAAGGUCAGUCAGCGGUGAAAAGCUAUCGCUUAACGAUAGUCUUGCCGCAGAUACUUCCUUUCUUGGAUGAGGAGGAGGCCACUGGAACGGAUGGUGUAGCGGUGAAAUGCAUAGAUAUCAUCCAGAACACCGAUUGCGAAAGCAGGUGGCUGUACCUUAAUCGACGCUGAUGCACGAAAGCAUGGGGAGCAAACAGGAUUAGAAACCCCAGUAGUCC